GUGCCAGCAGCGCGGUAAUACGUAGGGUCCAAGCGUUAAUCGGAAUUACUGGGCGUAAAGCGUGCGCAGGCGGUUGUGCAAGACCGAUGUGAAAUCCCCGAGCUUAACGUGGGAAUUGCAUUGGUGACUGCACGGCUAGAGUGUGUCAGAGGGGGGUAGAAUUCCACGUGUAGCAGUGAAAUGCGUAGAGAUGUGGAGGAAUACCGAUGGCGAAGGCAGCCCCCUGGGAUAACACUGACGCUCAUGCACGAAAGCGUGGGGAGCAAACAGGAUUAGAAACCCUUGUAGUCC
rnacentral:rRNA from 1 species